rnacentral:lncRNA from 1 species
GCCGAGGCCCCUGAGCGCCAUGCAACAAGUUGGGGGGGGGGGCACCUCGUGCUUCCUCUGGGCGCGGGGCAGACCUGGUGGCCCCUGCAGACCGCCUUUUCACUGGGCUCUCGGCGCCUGCGGGCCCUGAAGAUGCGCCGGCCCGGGCUGUGGGAGCAGUGCGACUUCUGGGCAUGGCCCUGGACCCGCAGUGGAACACCAUCCCGACCCACGUGUGCACAGCCAGGCCUGAGAACCCCCUGCCUCGCCGGCGUUGGGACGGGGCCUCGGGUGGAGUAGGGGGCAGCAGGAGGACAAUCUGGGGAUUGGGAUGGGGUCACACUUCAGGACAGCAGAGCUCGAAGCCCCAAGAGGGCUCCCUGGAAGAGGUGCUGGGAAUGGGAAGGGUGCGGUGUGUGAGGGACAGGAGACAGGGCUGGAAACAGGUCCAGGAGUAGGGGACAGAUAGGCCAGGAUGGGCUCGUGCAAACCCCCACCUCACCCCCCCCAGCAGCCCAGCCAGGAGACCCUGUGAGCCCCUGUGCAGCCAGCUGCUCAGCCUGCCUGGGGGCUCGGCCGGCCUCCCACCUGCUCUCCUGUCCGUCGCCCAGCCUGUGCCUUCCAGCAAGUGACAUCUCUGAGUGGCAGCUUCCCCUGUCUGAGGCUUCACCUCCCACAGGAUUAAGUGUGACCCCCUGGGUCUCACACCCAGCUGGGUCCUGCUGGAGGGUGGUCCGGAUGCCCAUAGUGGACGGAGGCCAGCCCUGCCCCACACCCGCCGGGCCUUCUGUUCACUGCUGCGGAAUGGGGUCCUGCCGUCCACCCAGGCCUGCUCGGCACCUGAAGGUGCCCUGCUGAGCAGGAGGUAAAGCCGAUCCCACUCCGAGGUUUGAUGCCGCUUCCCACGAGCCGUCACUCCAGCACCCCUGACUCACCACCUAGUCACCAGGUAGAGGGCCUCUGGAGAACUCUGAGCCCAGCAAGCCGCCCACCACCCACGUGUCAAUCUGGGCCUCAGGAGGGUAAGGAACUGGGGUUCUGUAGAAAGUCGCUGACAUCAGACUGGGUUCCAAGGCUCACUCUCUCCAGCCAAGGGACACUGAGGGAGCUGGGCCCACUCUGAACCUCUGUCUCCUUUUCUCCACAAUAAGCUCCUAAUGCCUCAGCCUCAGAGCUAGAGCAGGAGCGGCCACAGCAUGGAGCAGGCACUGUGAGUGCACCCAGGUCUAGGGGCCUCCUCUGCAGAGGGCGGUGCACAGCCCCCCACAGGCUGGCCAGGAAAGUGGGUCAGGAGGCCCCCAGCCCCCGAGGGUUGACAGCAAGUCCUAGCAGAUGGAGACUAAUUAGGGCUUAAUGAGUUGUCACGCAUGAGAACCCCGGGAGGGCCCAGAUCUAGGACAGAGGCUGCACCAGUCCUGGGGGCCAGUAGUGUGUCCCCAAAAGAGGACCUGGGAGAGCAGAGCCAUUGGGCGGGGCCCAGCUCCCACGUCUGUGGGUGUUUCCAGGCCACAGGCUGCCAGGAGCCUGGGGACAGAGGGCAGCUGCUGGCCCCCGAGCUGUCCCCACCCAGUACAGCCUUUCCUAGGACCGCUUCAGUGUUCCCUGGCCUGGGAAGGACAGGCGGUAGGACGUGUCCCCAGUAAUCACGGGGUUCAGGGGACGGAGCUCUGCUCAGAAGAGGAGGUGGGCCGGAGGGGCUGGGGUUGCCGAGGGCAGGGGGCUGACCCUGGACCCUGGGGUGCCCACCUCUCCUUGGGUUAAGGGUCAGCUACAAGUGAGUCCCCGGACAGUGGGGGCUAGGGAGGAGCCCACCGUGGGGACAGCUCAGGAGUCCCCAGGCAGGUCCCCGCACUGAGCCGAUCCCUUCUGCCUUCUCAAGCCCGGGAGGUGGGUGCAGGGCUCUGCCGAGGCCAGGUCCCACCUCCCCUUCAAAGACCCCUACCUGAGUGAGUGUCCCCGCCUCCUGGGCUGAAGGUGGGCAGAGGCAGCGUCCCCCAGAAGACAGGGACCCUGUCCUGGAGAGCCGGGGUGGGCCCGGCAACAGCUUCUCCCUGCUGGGUGGCCCUGGGCACCCCACUUGCCCUCUCUGGUCUCUGCUGAUCUCCCCAGUUUCCCGCUGCUCCGCCUGCACCCUGCGCUGCAGGGCUCUCCCUGCGACACUCUGACCCAGGGGAUGUGGGACAGUGUCCAGAGCUGUGUGGUCAUCUUCACUGGGCGUCCUGGUCUGAGGCGGUCACAGCCCCACUCGGCAGGGCCCCGGGCCACCACAGGGCAGACUGGCUGCAGCAGGGGCUGUGGCCUG